rnacentral:rRNA from 1 species
UUAAGCAAAAAAGAGCGCAGGGUGGAUGCCUUGGCACUAAGAGCCGAAGAAAGACGUGAUAAGCUGCGAAAAGCUGCGGGGAGGAGCAAAUAUCCACUGAUCCGCAGAUGUCUGAAUGGGGAAACCCGCAUGAGCAACCCUCAUGCAUCCAUACGCCAAUCCAUAACGUAUGGAAGGGAACCGCCUGAACUGAAACAUCUAAGUAGGGCGAGGAAGAGAAAGAAAAUUUAUCGAUUUCCAAAGUAGCGGCGAGCGAAAUGGAAAGAGGCCAAACCGGAGUGCGUGCACUCCGGGGUUCGGACCGCAUUUAAGAUUCAGUGAUUCUAGCAGAAAGGUUUUGGGAAAGCCUGCCGGAGAGGGUGAAAGCCCCGUAAGCGAAAGAGAAACUGACUGAGCGGUAUCCAGAGUACAUCGAGACACGAGAAACCUUGAUGGAAUGAGCGGGGACCACCCCGUAAGCCUAAAUACUCCUUAGUGACCGAUAGCGCAUAGUACUGUGAAGGAAAGGUGAAAAGGACCCCGGGAGGGGAGUGAAAGAGAACCUGAAACCCUGUGUUUACAAGCUGUGGGACAUCUUUACAUGAUGAACCGCGUACUUUUUGUAGAACGGUCCGGCGAGUUGCGGAUGCCGGCAAGGUUAAGCACUUAAGGUGUGGAGCCGAAGGGAAACCAAGUCUGAAGAGGGCGCAUAUAGUCAGUAUCCGCAGACCCGAAACCGGGUGAUCUACCCAUGUCCAGGUUGAAGUUGCCGUAAAAGGCAAUGGAGGACCGAACGCACAUCCGUUGAAAAGGGUGGGGAUGAGGUGUGGAUAGGGGAGAAAUUCCAAUCGAACCCGGAGAUAGCUGGUUCUCCUCGAAAUAGCUUUAGGGCUAGCCUCGUUUUAGUCUUGUGGAGGUAGAGCACUGAAUUUCCGCGGGGGCGUCAAAGCUUACCAAAGAAUAUCAAACUCCGAAUGCCAUGUAGAUGAUGAACGGGAGUCAGACUGCACGAGAUAAGUUGGGCAGUCAAAAGGGAAAGAGCCCAGACCGCCAGCCAAGGUCCCAAAGUGUGUGUUAAGUGGAAAAGGAUGUGGGAUCUCCAAGACAACUAGGAUGUUGGCUCAGAAGCAGCCACACAUUCAAAGAGUGCGUAACAGCUCACUAGUCGAGAGGUCCUGCGCCGAAAAUGUCCGGGGCUGAAACACAACACCGAAGCUGCGGAAUUGCGAAUGCAAUUGGUAGAGGAGCAUUCUUAAUACCGACGAAGCUGUACCGGAAGGAGCAGUGGAGGGAUAAGAAGAGAGAAUGCCGGAAUGAGUAGCGAGAGAGAGGUGAGAAUCCUCUCGGCCGAAUAUCCAAGGUUUCCAGAGUAAAGCUGAUCUGCUCUGGGUAAGUCGGGGCCUAAGGCGAGGUCAAAAGACGUAGCCGAUGGACAACAGGUUUAGAUUCCUGUACCGCAUAUAAACAGAACUGUGGGGACGCAUGGGGAGAGCAUGGGCCGGGAAUGGAAAUACCGGUGCAAGCGAAGGAGGUGUGCAGCCGGCAAAUCCGCUGCAUGAGCCGAAAGCGUGACGCGGAGCGAAAUGAAAGUAGCGAAGCAUGUGAGCCCUGUGCCGAGAAAAGCCGCUAUUGCUUUAUAUGUGCCCGUACCGUAAACCGACACAGGUGGAUGAGGAGAGAAUCCUAAGGCCGGCGGAAGAAGUAUUGUUAAGGAACUCGGCAAAAUGACCCCGUAACUUCGGGAGAAGGGGUGCCCACGGGAGUGGGCCGCAGAGAAUAGGCUCAAGCAACUGUUUAGCAAAAACACAGGUCUAUGCGAAACCGAAAGGUGAAGUAUAUGGGCUGACGCCUGCCCGGUGCUGGAAGGUUAAGAGGAGAGGUUAGCGAAAGCGAAGCUUUGAAUUUAAGCCCCAGUAAACGGCGGCCGUAACUAUAACGGUCCUAAGGUAGCGAAAUUCCUUGUCGGGUAAGUUCCGACCCGCACGAAAGGCGUAAUGAUUUGAGCACUGUCUCGACAAUACAUCCGGUGAAAUUGAAG